rnacentral:rRNA from 1 species
CGGCAUGCCUAAUACAUGCAAGUCGAACGCUGAAACACUCUGCUUGCAGAGUGUGGAUGAGUGGCGAACGGGUGAGUAACACGUGGGGAAUCUGCCUAUAAGUGGGGGAUAACAUUCGGAAACGGAUGCUAAUACCGCAUAUAUUCUUGGACCGCCUGGUCCUUGAAAGAAAGACGGCUUUGCUGUCGCUUAUAGAUGAUCCCGCGGCGUAUUAGUUAGUUGGUGGGGUAAUGGCCUACCAAGACCAUGAUACGUAGCCGACCUGAGAGGGUGAUCGGCCACACUGGGACUGAGACACGGCCCAGACUCCUACGGGAGGCAGCAGUAGGGAAUCUUCCACAAUGGGUGCAAACCUGAUGGAGCAAUGCCGCGUGAAUGAAGAAGGUCUUCGGAUCGUAAAGUUCUGUUAUUAGAGAAGAACAAGUCAAGGAGUAACUGUCUUGACUUUGACGGUACCUAACCAGAAAGUCACGGCUAACUACGUGCCCAGCCGCCGCGGUUAAUAC